UCUCUCUCUCUCUCAAUCAAUCAAUCAAAAUCAAUCAAUCAAUCAAUAUAUCUAUCUAUAUCUCGACUCAUUUAUAAGGACAACCAAAUAUUCUGAAAACAAGUUGUACUGUUUAUACUGCUCUAUGAAUAUUAAAGUGAAGCUAUAAUCCAUUGCCUACAAGUAUUGAAUCUGUGUAUUGAGUUACGUGGAAGGGUCGUAGAGGGGUCGUGUCCAGUGAUUUUGUGAUUUAGUAUUGCUUUAGUAGCCCGGCGAUAUACCGAUCAAUUUAGUAGUAAGCUAGUAGUCCAGUGAUUUAGUGGUGAUUUGGCAAAAGUUUAAGAUUUUCAUGGACUGUUUUGUGAUCCUAGUGAUAGUUUUGCACAACUUCAUCAUCUUAAACGAGAGGAUCACCCAUGGAAACCCAGCAAGUCUUCUCUGUGGCCCGGGGAAAUAGUCGUAAUGGGCGCCCGACACGUUGAAGAUUAUAGACCUCAGUACCGCCUGUUCAUUAGUUAUCCAUUCGGUAGUUCAGGGGUAUUGAAGGGUAAGUUAAGAGGUUUGAAGUAAUAAUUAAGGCCCAGGAUGUCGUAAGGUGUUGAGUUGAUGGAAAAAAGUGUGCGUGAUCUAUCGACCCUUUUAUUAGUUAGAUAUGUACGUGUUGCUGAGGAAGGAGAGGAGUUCAAUGCGUAUGUGAGAGUUGCAGAGGUUAGUGGUUCAGUCGUUUACUUACUCAUUCAAUUCCUCGAUAACUUUUUGAUAUACGAUUAUACAAUUGAAGUAAAACACGGAGAUAAUGACUAAAGGUAUAUUGAUGGUAGAAAUUUGUAAACAUCGCUGCUACAAACAUAGGAAUAUCCAUAUAUAUUCGUAAGAUGCAUUAAUAUUUUUAGUUUGCAAAUCAUACCAACUAAAGCCUCGAAGUCUCACUGAGGAAACCGGCGCAGAAGUUGGUCCCUCUAGCACAGUGAAGCCUCGGAGCCCCUCGACGAAUGUGACCUCCGUGUUCAAGGUUCUAGUCUCCCCAUUCGUGUGCCGGCUGCUGUGUAACUCGUGACCCCCUCCCAGACGACAGGCUGAGUCCGGGUUGAGCUGAGGCCAAGCAGAUUAGAGAUUCCUUGUGGACGAUCCAAGUGGCCGCGGUAAAGAACAGAUCGUUGCCGCCACACACCAAGCCGUGACGACUGAUUCAGCACCACCAAGGAUCUAGACUCCUCCAGCACCAGCAAGCACCGGAAGAAUGGUGAGAUGUUGAAGGAAGAGUGCCUGGAGGAGCCAAGCAGACCAGCCACAGCCUCCCUCCAUCAGCCGUGUGCCUUCCAGAGCCACUCCAGCAGCUUGUGUCCCAUGAGAGGCCUUUACUAGCAACCGCAACAGCUCCAGUUUAGUUGCAAGUUACUGUUUAUGAACUAGCACAGCAUCUGUUUGGGAUGUCAUUCUUAACCCGUCCGUUGCGAUUGGCAUGGAUUUGGCCUUCACUUGUAGCCUUGGUAACAUAGUCCCAAGUCUGACUCUGUGGUGGAUAGUGUAGAGUUUCCCAUGUGGUAUUGGUGUGCUGGAUUUCCCCUCCCAAGGUACAUGACUUUACAUUUUUCUUCAUUAAAUUAAGCUGCUACUUUUUGUUCCAUUCCUAUAGCUUGGUGAUGUCUUCUCGUAGGAAACCCAGUCAAGGGGUUAAUUCCUAUUAGAUUGUCCAGCUGUCACAUGUUGUACACAUAUGACCUCCAGAAGUCCAUUUCUUAUUCUUUAGAGACAAUGAUUUCUUCAUACUUUGUUCUUUAAUCCAUAUUGAUCUCUUGUUGAUUCUAAAUUUUAUAGCCAGCAUUUUUCUCUUCAUUUCUCAGUGUGCUUUUUAGGCUUUCUCUUUAGAUCUUUUGUAAGGUCACUGCCAAGUUUGUGAACUAUGUGUUAGGACUGGCAAGAUAAACUGAUUAUACUUUUUCGUCAGGGAUAGUGGCAGGUUGCUAUUCAUAUUACUAAGGUUACCACAAGAUCUCCAUCACAUUCCUCUUCUCUCUGAGUUCCUUUCUGUGUUCAGGGUUUGCACUGACUGUCAUGUCUCCUCAAGGUUACCAUGAGCUCCCCAUCCCUUUCCUCUUCUCUCCCUGAUUUUGUUUUCUUUUGUGAUCAGGGUUUGCAAUGAUUGUUGUGCGUGUGUACUCCACUUCUCAAGUUAAUUUCCAAUCCCCCUUCGUUGUCCUCCCAACAGUGUUGUUCUAAAUAAUUUGUUGUACAGGGAUAGGUUUCUCACUCUUGUCAUGUACUGUGGGCAGCUGGCCUGGUUAAUAACAUAUACUGCUUGUU